GGUCUGGUAGCUCAGCUGGAUAGAGCAACAGCCUUCUAAGCUGUGGGUCCCGGGUUCGAAUCCCGGCCGGAUCA
rnacentral:tRNA from 2 species